rnacentral:lncRNA from 1 species
AUGUUCAGAGCCCUUGAUGUCCUGAAAAUGAAGGAGGACAGAAAAUGUCCUCAAAUUUCUUGUAGUUUGAACCCACUCAGGUGGCACCAUCCUUGACUUCCAAAUGGAACAGUACCUCUACAAAAGAAAAAGUGAUAGCAUCUGCAUCAUAAAUCUGAAGAGGACCUAGAGGCUUCUGCUGGCAGCUCGUGUCAUUGCUGUGAUUGGAAACCCUGCUGAUGUCAGUGUCAUAUCCUCCAGGAAUACUGACCACCAGGCUGUGCUGAAGUUUACUGCUGCCAUUGGAGCUACUCCUGUUGAUGAUCAUUUCCUCCUGGAAACUUCAUUAACCAGAUCCAGGCAGCCUUACAGGAGUUACAUUGCUGGUGGUUACUGAUUCCAGGGCUGACCACAAGCCUCUCAUAGAGGCAUGUUAUGCUAACCUGUCUACCAUUGCUCUAGGUCACACAGGUUUUCCUCCAUGCUAUGUGGACAUUGCCACCCCAUGCAACAGCAGCUCACUCAGUGGGCCUGAUGUGGUGGAUGGUGGCCAAGAAGUUAUGCACGUGCUUGGCGCCAUCUCCUGUGAACACCCAUGGGAGAUUAUGACUUAUCUCUACUUCUACAAACAUCCUGAAAAGAUUGAAAAGAAAGAGCAGGUUGCUGCUGAAAAAGCUGUGACCAAGGAGGAAUUUCAGGGCGAACAGACUUCUUCAGCACCUGAGUUCACUGCUACUUAGUGUGAGGUUUCAGAAUGGCCUGAAGGUGUGCAGGUUGCAUGUGUGCUUUGUGCCUAUUCAGCAGUUACCUACUGAACACUGGAGCACUCAGCCUGCCACCGAAGGCUGGUUUGCCCUCCCACUGCUCAGGCCACUGAAUGGGUAGGAAGAACCGCUGAAUAG